GAUGAACGCUGGCGGCGUGCCUAAUACAUGCAAGUCGAGCGAACGGACGAGAAGCUUGCUCCUCUGACGUUAGCGGCGGACGGGUGAGUAACACGUGGAUAACCUACCUAUAAGACUGGGAUAACUUCGGGAAACCGGAGCUAAUACCGGAUAAUAUUUUGAACCGCAUGGUUCAAAAGUGAAAGACGGUCUUGCUGUCACUUAUAGAUGGAUCCGCGCUGCAUUAGCUAGUUGGUAAGGUAACGGCUUACCAAGGCAACGAUGCAUAGCCGACCUGAGAGGGUGAUCGGCCACACUGGAACUGAGACACGGUCCAGACUCCUACGGGAGGCAGCAGUAGGGAAUCUUCCGCAAUGGGCGAAAGCCUGACGGAGCAACGCCGCGUGAGUGAUGAAGGUCUUCGGAUCGUAAAACCCUGUUAUUAGGGAAGAACAUAUGUGUAAGUAACUGUGCACAUCUUGACGGUACCUAAUCAGAAAGCCACGGCUAACUACGUG
rnacentral:rRNA from 1 species